GUCCCGUGAGCCUCUGCAGCAGCCACCAGCCCCAAGACUUCUUUCCUUUGCGCUCUUCAGUCGUGUUCCAGACACCCCUCCCCUCCGGUAAUGAGGAGACAAGCUGUCUGGUCUCCUGGAGUUGUCAUUCUGCAGAGAUUCUAGCAGCUCAUCCCAGGUUUGCAGAAGGAACUGCUUAUAAUAAGCUUUCUCCAACCCAGCUGCCUCUCUUGGGAUUUGUGGGACUGUCAUUCAGCAACUCUACAGGAUGCCUGGGCAGCAUCCAGCAGGCCUACAACAUCACUUGGAUCCCCAAGAUGCCUCACUCUUGUCUCCAGGAGAGAGCUCUGCCUUUAGAGUGCAGGCUUUUCAGUGAGAUGAAGGGGAAGCAGUGAGAGAAGACUUCAGGUGAUGCCUCACUGGGAGCAGCAUGUUUGAGACUCCACCACAACUUGUCCCUAGCAGCUCCAGAAGUGCACACGAAGGAGAAAGCAAAUCAGCUGCUGACCUGGCUGUAAUUCCAGAUGAGUAGACACUCAGCUGGUCCUGUGGUCUCCCUUUUAUCUCUCUGUCUUAGUCCAUUUGGUGCUGCUACAAUAGAAUACCACAGAUUGGGUAACAAUAAGUAAAUAGAAGUUGACUUGAUUCAUGGUUGUAGAAAGUGGAAAGUCCAAGAUGGAGGGGCCACAUCUGGUGAGAACCUUCUUGCCGUGCAUUAUAACAUGGUGAAAGGCUUCUUGUGGGGAUGGGUGGAGGCUGAAUUCAUUCUAUUAUCAGGAACUUAACACCUGCAAUAACUAACUCACUCCUACCAUAAUGGCAGUAAUCCACUCAUGAGAGAGGCAGGGCACACGAGACCUCACACCACUCAACACUGUUGCAUUAGACUUAAGUUUCCAACAAGAACUUUGGGGAUAUAUUCAAACCAUAGUGCCUUCCUUCUUGCUUUUUAUCAUUAUUGCCUGACCAACUACCACAAGCAGAGCCUUUCAUCUGACUCACAGGAGGAAAUCAAGCUGAGCCCCCUUUACGAGGUUUACAUUAUGAGCUAAGAAAGUUAAGAAGGGAACUGGAUGGACAAGGAAUCAAGUCCAACUGGGGGAUCCAGGAAGACUUCCUGGAGGAACUAGGCCUUGGCUCUGAGUCUUGAGGGAUGCAUAGUAUUUGAACACGUAGAGACAGAGAAGGAGGGCAUACCCACACGGAGGAAAGAGAGUGCGGCAGAGGGGAGGCUGGGGAGCCCCGAACACGUGGAGGAAGGAAGUGGUGGUCAUGAUGACUUCAGGCCAUCCCAAAGACCCAGGGGAAAGCCACAUUUGCAUCAUUUUGGGAUGCUCAGGAAAACAUCCUGGCCAUUUGUUUACCUGUUUUCCCUUCUAUCGAGCACAUCUUUCUCUGUUGGAGGCUCAUUUAUAAUUCAGGCAACCUCCUUCAGAGGGAGCAGGUGUUUCUCUGGGAUGAAGCACCUUGGGAAGCAGAGUGUACAGGUGGAGGGGAAAGCAUGUGGCAGCACAGUCAGGUGGAGACAAGGGCAGAAGGGGGAGGAGGCUGGGGGGCAGAAGACAAGGCAGCAAAAGCAAGAGAGAGCUUAAUGCCUUCCCACCCAGCACUUGCUCUCUUCUCCCUCCCUCUGCUCUCUUCCCUCUGCAUAUCUGGAUUGAUGAACCCUCUGCUCUGGGUUCCUCAGAAAGCAGAGCUUGAGGUAAAGGCUCAAGUGUAUCUGCUCUACAGGGGAGUGAGUUCAAGGGAGAGCCAAUAGAAGGGUGGGAUCUCAAGCUGGCCACAGCUCCAUUCCACACAGUGGCUCCUUUCACGGACCCAUCAUCUGUGAGGACAUGUAAGAACCACAUCCUACACUCCUGCUCGGUCUGGAGGAGGAAGAGAGAGGCACCGGUCUCCACUUCUCCAGGUCGCAGAAGCACAGGGCUUUUUGCAUGUCAGGGUCAACAGCGAAGCUGGUGGGGAACAGCGUGAGGUAUUGUCAUGUUGGGCCAGGGGGACGAGUGUUGGAGCCCAUGUGGAGAUGGUCACCACAGUGAAGGCUGGGGCCGAAGCAAGGGGCCUUAGGAGAGGCCCACGAGGACCUGGAGAUGCCCCAGAAUGCAAGGACGGUCCAUCUCAGCAGCUCUCCCCUUAGUUACUAGUUAGCUCUUACGCAGGUAUCUGCCUGCUGGCAAACCACUGAGAGCAGGAGUCACACACAAGGUACCAGUGGAGGGUGGAGACAGAGUGGGCCUCAAGAAAGCUCACUCCCCUGCACAGACCUGACUGGGCCUGGCUGGGAUCCAGUCACCCCGAGAGCCCAUUUUGGCUGCUCAUCUUUGAGGCAGUCCCCAAGGGCCUCAGAGAGCAAACAUAAUCCCAAACAAAGGCAAGGCAUUAAAGGGACUCCUGAGGAUCCAGCAUUAUUAAUGACCUAUUCAAGCCAGGGAAAUCAAUAGCUGUUUAGAAUGGGCUUUAGGGAGAGACUAGUUUAGAUUAAGAAAAAGGAAAAACAAAUAGUUGCCCUCGAUGAGGUAAGGGGGCGAGGCAGCUCCCCCAGCUCGACAGUGCUUCUGUAACCUUUUGAUUGACACUUGCAGAGGAGGGUCUGUGGAUAGGUAGACAUUAUGAACUAGAUUGAUGUCUUAAUCUAAUUUUCCCUUACCUAUCCAAAGAUCCCAAAUUGCAAAAGAGAAGAUUUAUUACUUUUCUAAAACAGAUUAGUACCUUCUUCCUCAAAGCACUAGGAAACCAAAAAGGCUUUUAAAGCUCUAGAGGUUAAACUUGAAAUGCUGGUACUUUCAGUUUGGCAGGAAAAGUAAAAACAAUGCUGAUUCCACUUGAAUGGUCUGGGGUUUAUCUAAUUCUCUUCUCCAGGAGCCGGAGCCCUACUGGAUAUAGACACUUUCUGCUUCCCCCAGGGGAAGUAGGGGUGGGCAUUAUUGGCCCAGUUUGGCAGCUAGGAAAGCAAAGCACAAGAUGGGGAAAGGAUCUGUCCAAAAGAACACGGUGACCGUGUGAAGUAUGACAAUUCCCACUGACUUCUUGAUUAUAGUUUUAGUAUAGAAACUAUUGUAGACCCUGGAUUAAGCACCAUCAUAUAAGACGGUGUUAAGGUGGGGGUUAUGAGGACAAAGGGACACUGUAGGUCAUGGAGGACCACUCCUUUAGGGUCUGGAAAUUUCUUUGUGUUCACUUCCUAUUUUAGUCAGCUUUUUCACUGCUGUGACUAAAAGAUUCAACCAGAACAAUUUUAGGGGAAGAAAAGUGUAUUUGGGAGCUCACGGUUUCAGAGGUCUCAAUCCAUAGACGGCAGGCUCCAUUUCCUCAGAGCUUGAGGUGAGGCACAACAACAUUGUGGAGGGAAGGGGUUCGCAUGAUGAUCAGAAGCAGGGAGAGACUCUAUGCUCCAGAUACAAAAUAUAUACUCCAUAGUCACACCCUUAAUCAACCACUUCCUCCAGCCACACCCACUGCCCCCAUUCACCACCCAGUUAAUCCCAUCAGGGAUGAAUUCACUGAUUAGGUUAAGGCUCUCACAGCCCAAUCAUUUCUCUUCCAAACCUUCUUGCAUAGUCUCACAUGAGAUAUGGGGGACAGGGGUGGAAUGUUAUGGUUUGGAUGUGAGG